rnacentral:snRNA from 1 species
GUGCUCACUUCAGCAGCACAUCUACUAAAACUGGAAUGAUACAGAGAUUAGCAUGACCACUGUGCAAGGAUGACAAGCAAAUUUGUGAAGCGGUCCAUAUUUG